AAAUUGAAGAGUUUGAUCAUGGCUCAGAUUGAACGCUGGCGGCAGGCCUAACACAUGCAAGUCGAACGGUAACAGGAAGCAGCUUGCUGCUUCGCUGACGAGUGGCGGACGGGUGAGUAAUGUCUGGGAAACUGCCUGAUGGAGGGGGAUAACUACUGGAAACGGUAGCUAAUACCGCAUAAUGUCGCAAGACCAAAGAGGGGGACCUUCGGGCCUCUUGCCAUCGGAUGUGCCCAGAUGGGAUUAGCUUGUUGGUGGGGUAACGGCUCACCAAGGCGACGAUCCCUAGCUGGUCUGAGAGGAUGACCAGCCACACUGGAACUGAGACACGGUCCAGACUCCUACGGGAGGCAGCAGUGGGGAAUAUUGCACAAUGGGCGCAAGCCUGAUGCAGCC
rnacentral:rRNA from 1 species